rnacentral:rRNA from 1 species
ACGUACACUCCUACGGGAGGCAGCAGUGGGGAAUAUUGCACAAUGGGCGCAAGCCUGAUGCAGCGACGCCGCGUGGGGGAUGAAGGCCUUCGGGUUGUAAACUCCUUUCGCUAGGGACGAAGCUUUUUUGUGACGGUACCUAGAUAAGAAGCACCGGCUAACUACGUGCCAGCAGCCGCGGUAAUACGUAGGGUGCGAGCGUUGUCCGGAAUUACUGGGCGUAAAGGGCUCGUAGGUGGUUUGUCGCGUCGUCUGUGAAAUUCUGGGGCUUAACUCCGGGCGUGCAGGCGAUACGGGCAUAACUUGAGUGCUGUAGGGGUAACUGGAAUUCCUGGUGUAGCGGUGAAAUGCGCAGAUAUCAGGAGGAACACCGAUGGCGAAGGCAGGUUACUGGGCAGUUACUGACGCUGAGGAGCGAAAGCAUGGGUAGCGAACAGGAUUAGAAACCCUGGUAGUCCCA